rnacentral:rRNA from 1 species
GAUGAACGCUGGCGGCGUGCCUAAUACAUGCAAGUCGAGCGAACAGACAAGGAGCUUGCUCCUCUGACGUUAGCGGCGGACGGGUGAGUAACACGUGGAUAACCUACCUAUAAGACUGGGAUAACUUCGGGAAACCGGAGCUAAUACGGGAUAAUAUAUGAAACCGCAUGGUUAAAUAGCGAAAGACGGUUUUGCUGUCACUUAUAGAUGGAUCCGCGCCGCAUUAGCUAGUUGGUAAGGUAACGGCUUACCAAGGCAACGAUGCGUAGCCGACCUGAGAGGGUGAUCGGCCACACUGGAACUGAGACACGGUCCAGACUCCUACGGGAGGCAGCAGUAGGGAAUCUUCCGCAAUGGGCGAAAGCCUGACGGAGCAACGCCGCGUGAGUGAUGAAGGUCUUCGGAUCGUAAAACUCUGUUAUUGGGGAAGAACAAAUGUGUAAGUAACUAUGCACGUCUUGACGGUACCUAAUCAGAAAGCCACGGCUAACUACGUG